rnacentral:rRNA from 1 species
CCUACGGGUGGCAGCAGUGGGGAAUAUUGGACAAUGGGGGGAACCCUGAUCCAGCCAUGCCGCGUGUGUGAAGAAGGCCCUCGGGUUGUAAAGCACUUUCAGUGAGGAAGAACGCCUGGUGGUUAAUACCCAUCAGGAAAGACAUCACUCACAGAAGAAGCACCGGCUAACUCCGUGCCAGCAGCCGCGGUAAUACGGAGGGUGCGAGCGUUAAUCGGAAUUACUGGGCGUAAAGCGCGCGUAGGUGGCUUGAUAAGCCGGUUGUGAAAGCCCCGGGCUCAACCUGGGAACGGCAUCCGGAACUGUCAAGCUAGAGUGCAGGAGAGGAAGGUAGAAUUCCCGGUGUAGCGGUGAAAUGCGUGGAGAUCGGGAGGAAUACCAGUGGCGAAGGCGGCCUUCUGGACUGACACUGACACUGAGGUGCGAAAGCGUGGGUAGCAAACAGGAUUAGAUACCCUAGUAGUC